AGAGUUUGAUCCUGGCUCAGAUUGAACGCUGGCGGCAGGCUUAACACAUGCAAGUCGAACGAUGAAACUCUAGCUUGCUAGAGAUGAUUAGUGGCGGAACGGGUGAGUAACAUUUAGGAAUCUGCCUAGUAGUGGGGGAUAGCUCGGGGAAACUCGAAUUAAUACCGCAUACGACCUACGGGUGAAAGGGGGCGCUAGCUCUUGCUAUUAGAUGAGCCUAAAUCAGAUUAGCUAGUUGGUGGGGUAAAGGCCCACCAAGGCGACGAUCUGUAACUGGUCUGAGAGGAUGAUCAGUCACACCGGAACAUGAGACACGGUCCGGACUCCUACGGGAGGCAGCAGUGGGGAAUAUUGGACAAUGGGGGCAACCCUGAUCCAGCCAUGCCGCGUGUGUGAAGAAGGCCUUUUGGUUGUAAAGCACUUUAAGCAGGGAGGAGAGGCUACAUGGUUAAUACCCAUUAAGAUUAGACGUUACUUGCAGAAUCAGC
rnacentral:rRNA from 1 species